GGCCCAAGCCUGGGAGGUGGGGGAACAGUUGGAACGACUGCUAAUACCGCAUAAUGUCUACGGACCAAAGGGGGCUUCGGCUCUCGCCUUUAGAUUGGCCCAAGUGGGAUUAGCUAGUUGGUGAGGUAAUGGCUCACCAAGGCGACGAUCCCUAGCUGGUUUGAGAGGAUGAUCAGCCACACUGGGACUGAGACACGGCCCAGACUCCUACGGGAGGCAGCAGUGGGGAAUAUUGCACAAUGGGCGCAAGCCUGAUGCAGCCAUGCCGCGUGUGUGAAGAAGGCCUUCGGGUUGUAAAGCACUUUCAGUCAGGAGGAAAGGUUAGUAGUUAAUACCUGCUAGGUGUGACGUUACUGACAGAAGAAGCACCGGCUAACUCCGUGCCAGCAGCCGCGGUAAUACGGAGGGUGCGAGCGUUAAUCGGAAUUACUGGGCGUAAAGCGUACGCAGGCGGUUUGUUAAGCGAGAUGUGAAAGCCCCGGGCUCAACCUGGGAACUGCAUUUCGAACUGGCAAACUAGAGUGUGAUAGAGGGUGGUAGAAUUUCAGGUGUAGCGGUGAAAUGCGUAGAGAUCUGAAGGAAUACCGAUGGCGAAGGCAGCCACCUGGGUCAACACUGACGCUCAUGUACGAAAGCGUGGGGAGCAAACGGGAUUAGAUACCCCGGUAGUCCACGCCGUAAACGAUGUCUACUAGAAGCUCGGAGCCUCGGUUCUGUUUUUCAAAGCUAACGCAUUAAGUAGACCGCCUGGGGAGUACGGCCGCAAGGUUAAAACUCAAAUGAAAUUGGCGGGGGCCCGCACAAGCGGUGGAGCAUGUGGUUUAAUUUCGAUGCAACGCGAAGAAACCUUACCUUACACUUGGACAUACAGAGAACCUUACCAGAGGAUGGGUUGGUUGCUUUCGGGAAACUCUGAAUACAGGUGCUGCAUGGCUGUCGUCAGCUCGUGUUGGUGAGAUGUUGGUUUAAGUCCCGCACGAGCGCAUCCUAUAUCCUAGUUGCAUAGCAAGUAAUGCUUGAAGAACUCUCUUAGGAGAACUG
rnacentral:rRNA from 1 species